rnacentral:ncRNA from 1 species
CAUAAAGCGAUGAGAAAGAGAGUACAGCUUUGUCAGCGUCUCAAGAGAGUCUGUGGUUGGUGGAAACAGAUGACGCGCUUAGGUGGAAGUGGACUUUCGAGCAGCAUUUCUGAACGUUUUAGUAGGUUAUGCCGCGCCCCAGGCGAUAUUGGGUAAAGUGAUUUCUUCUUUGUUGAAGGAAUAACGAGGGUGGCACCACGGUUCAUUCGUCCCUACA